rnacentral:rRNA from 1 species
CGAACGCUGGCGGCAGGCCUAAUACAUGCAAGUCGAACGGCUCUUCGAAGCAGUGGCGGACGGGUGAGUAACGCGUGGGAAUGUGCCCUUUGGUACGGAACAACACAGGGAAACUUGUGCUAAUACCGUAUGUGCCCUUCGGGGGAAAGAUUUAUCGCCAUUGGAGCAGCCCGCGUUGGAUUAGGUAGUUGGUGAGGUAAAGGCUCACCAAGCCUACGAUCCAUAGCUGGUCUGAGAGGAUGACCAGCCACACUGGGACUGAGACACGGCCCAGACUCCUACGGGAGGCAGCAGUAGGGAAUCUUGCGCAAUGGGCGAAAGCCUGACGCAGCCAUGCCGCGUGUAUGAUGAAGGUCUUAGGAUUGUAAAAUACUUUCACCGGGGAAGAUAAUGACGGUACCCGGAGAAGAAGCCCCGGCUAACUUCGUGCCAGCCGCCGCUGUAAGAC